GGGACACGUGGUAUCCUGUCUGAAUAUGGGGGGACCAUCCUCCAAGGCUAAAUACUCCUGACUGACCGAUAGUGAACCAGUACCGUGAGGGAAAGGCGAAAAGAACCCCGGCGAGGGGAGUGAAAAAGAACCUGAAACCGUGUACGUACAAGCAGUGGGAGCACGCUUAGGCGUGUGACUGCGUACCUUUUGUAUAAUGGGUCAGCGACUUAUAUUCUGUAGCAAGGUUAACCGAAUAGGGGAGCCGAAGGGAAACCGAGUCUUAACUGGGCGUUAAGUUGCAGGGUAUAGACCCGAAACCCGGUGAUCUAGCCAUGGGCAGGUUGAAGGUUGGGUAACACUAACUGGAGGACCGAACCGACUAAUGUUGAAAAAUUAGCGGAUGACUUGUGGCUGGGGGUGAAAGGCCAAUCAAACCGGGAGAUAGCUGGUUCUCCCCGAAAGCUAUUUAGGUAGCGCCUCGUGAAUUCAUCUCCGGGGGUAGAGCACUGUUUCGGCAAGGGGGUCAUCCCGACUUACCAACCCGAUGCAAACUGCGAAUACCGGAGAAUGUUAUCACGGGAGACACACGGCGGGUGCUAACGUCCGUCGUGAAGAGGGAAACAACCCAGACCGCCAGCUAAGGUCCCAAAGUCAUGGUUAAGUGGGAAACGAUGUGGGAAGGCCCAGACAGCCAGGAUGUUGGCUUAGAAGCAGCCAUCAUUUAAAGAAAGCGUAAUAGCUCACUGGUCGAGUCGGCCUGCGCGGAAGAUGUAACGGGGCUAAACCAUGCACCGAAGCUGCGGCAGCGACGCUUAUGCGUUGUUGGGUAGGGGAGCGUUCUGUAAGCCUGCGAAGGUGUGCUGUGAGGCAUGCUGGAGGUAUCAGAAGUGCGAAUGCUGACAUAAGUAACGAUAAAGCGGGUGAAAAGCCCGCUCGCCGGAAGACCAAGGGUUCCUGUCCAACGUUAAUCGGGGCAGGGUGAGUCGACCCCUAAGGCGAGGCCGAAAGGCGUAGUCGAUGGGAAACAGGUUAAUAUUCCUGUACUUGGUGUUACUGCGAAGGGGGGACGGAGAAGGCUAUGUUGGCCGGGCGACGGUUGUCCCGGUUUAAGCGUGUAGGCUGGUUUUCCAGGCAAAUCCGGAAAAUCAAGGCUGAGGCGUGAUGACGAGGCACUACGGUGCUGAAGCAACAAAUGCCCUGCUUCCAGGAAAAGCCUCUAAGCAUCAGGUAACAUCAAAUCGUACCCCAAACCGACACAGGUGGUCAGGUAGAGAAUACCAAGGCGCUUGAGAGAACUCGGGUGAAGGAACUAGGCAAAAUGGUGCCGUAACUUCGGGAGAAGGCACGCUGAUAUGUAGGUGAAGUCCCUCGCGGAUGGAGCUGAAAUCAGUCGAAGAUACCAGCUGGCUGCAACUGUUUAUUAAAAACACAGCACUGUGCAAACACGAAAGUGGACGUAUA
rnacentral:rRNA from 1 species